CCUACGGGUGGCAGCAGUGGGGGAUAUUGCACAAUGGGGGAAACCCUGAUGCAGCGACGCAGCGUGUGGGAAGACGGUCCUCUGGAUUGUAAACCACUGUUCUCAGGGACGAAGAUGACGGAACCUGGGGAGGAAGCUCCGGCUAACUACGUGCCAGCAGCCGCGGUAAUACGUAGGGAGCGAGCGUUGUCCGGAAUUACUGGGUGUAACGGGAGCGUAGGCGGGGAUGCAAGUUGGGGGUCAAAACUACCGGCUCAACUGGUAGUCGCACUCAAAACUGCAGCUCUUGAGUGAAGUAGAGGCAGGCGGAAGUCCUAGUGUAGCGGUGAUAUGCGUAGAUAUUAGGAGGAACACCAGUUGCGAAGGCGGCCUGCUGAGCUUUUACUGACGCUGAGGCUCGAAAGUGUGGGGAGCAAACAGGAUUAGAUACCCUUGUAGUC
rnacentral:rRNA from 1 species